CCUGGCUCAGGAUGAACGCUAGCUACAGGCUUAACACAUGCAAGUCGAGGGGCAGCAUGGUCUUAGCUUGCUAAGGCCGAUGGCGACCGGCGCACGGGUGAGUAACACGUAUCCAACCUGCCGUCUACUCUUGGACAGCCUUCUGAAAGGAAGAUUAAUACAAGAUGGCAUCAUGAGUCCGCAUGUUCACAUGAUUAAAGGUAUUCCGGUAGACGAUGGGGAUGCGUUCCAUUAGAUAGUAGGCGGGGUAACGGCCCACCUAGUCUUCGAUGGAUAGGGGUUCUGGGAGGAAGGUCCCCCACAUUGGAACUGAGACACGGUCCAAACUCCUACGGGAGGCAGCAGUGAGGAAUAUUGGUCAAUGGGCGAGAGCCUGAACCAGCCAAGUAGCGUGAAGGAUGACUGCCCUAUGGGUUGUAAACUUCUUUUAUAAAGGAAUAAAGUCGGGUAUGGAUACCCGUUUGCAUGUACUUUAUGAAUAAGGAUCGGCUAACUCCGUGCCAGCAGCCGCGGUAAUACGGAGGAUCCGAGCGUUAUCCGGAUUUAUUGGGUUUAAAGGGAGCGUAGAUGGAUGUUUAAGUCAGUUGUGAAAGUUUGCGGCUCAACCGUAAAAUUGCAGUUGAUACUGGAUAUCUUGAGUGCAGUUGAGGCAGGCGGAAUUCGUGGUGUAGCGGUGAAAUGCUUAGAUAUCACGAAGAACUCCGAUUGCGAAGGCAGCCUGCUAAGCUGCAACUGACAUUGAGGCUCGAAAGUGUGGGUAUCAAACAGGAUUAGAUACCCUGGUAGUCCACACGGUAAACGAUGAAUACUCGCUGUUUGCGAUAUACUGCAAGCGGCCAAGCGAAAGCGUUAAGUAUUCCACCUGGGGAGUACGCCGGCAACGGUGAAACUCAAAGGAAUUGACGGGGGCCCGCACAAGCGGAGGAACAUGUGGUUUAAUUCGAUGAUACGCGAGGAACCUUACCCGGGCUUAAAUUGCAGAUGAAUUACGGUGAAAGCCGUAAGCCGCAAGGCAUCUGUGAAGGUGCUGCAUGGUUGUCGUCAGCUCGUGCCGUGAGGUGUCGGCUUAAGUGCCAUAACGAGCGCAACCCUUGUUGUCAGUUACUAACAGGUUCCGCUGAGGACUCUGACAAGACUGCCAUCGUAAGAUGUGAGGAAGGUGGGGAUGACGUCAAAUCAGCACGGCCCUUACGUCCGGGGCUACACACGUGUUACAAUGGGGGGUACAGAGGGCCGCUACCACGCGAGUGGAUGCCAAUCCCCAAAACCUCUCUCAGUUCGGACUGGAGUCUGCAACCCGACUCCACGAAGCUGGAUUCGCUAGUAAUCGCGCAUCAGCCACGGCGCGGUGAAUACGUUCCCGGGCCUUGUACACACCGCC
rnacentral:rRNA from 1 species